UUACGGCCAUAUCACGUUGAAACACUAGUUUCCGUAUGAUCAACGAAGUUAAGCAACAUUGAACCUGGUCAGUACCAUGAUGAGUGACCGCUUGAGAAUAUUAGAUGCUGAAA